AAGCUGAGCCCAGUUCCUGGUGGACCGCCUCAGAAUCACCUGAAAAAUCUUAUGCAAUUUCUAAUCUCUCCUUCUGACCUGGGAAAUUUUAGUUCAUUAAUUCUGGAGUCAGCUAUUUCAGUGCUCAAUGAAUUUAGGCCACAAAGGCUGUCAACUCUGUGAUGACAUGGACUUUACACUCUUGCUCCGCAGAGCACCUUGCAAAAACCCAGUUUUUAGCUGAACUGAGGAGAAAGUCCUGCAACAACCUUACUGGCCAAACUAUGAUUAUGAAGCCAAUCAAUGAGGCUGCAUUUUCAAGCACUACUCUGUAG
rnacentral:lncRNA from 1 species